rnacentral:tRNA from 1 species
GUCUCAUUAGCUCAGUGGUUAGAGCACUGGCACAGUACGCCAGAGGCCCUGGGUUUGAAUCCCAGUUGAGACU